AUUGAACGCUGGCGGCAUGCCUACACAUGCAAGUCGAACGGCAGCACGGGAGCAAUCCUGGUGGCGAGUGGCGAACGGGUGAGUAAUACAUCGGAACGUGCCCAAUCGUGGGGGAUAACGCAGCGAAAGCUGUGCUAAUACCGCAUACGAUCUACGGAUGAAAGCAGGGGAUCGCAAGACCUUGCGCGAAUGGAGCGGCCGAUGGCAGAUUAGGUAGCUGGUGAGGUAAAGGCUCACCAAGCCGUCGAUCUGUAGCUGGUCUGAGAGGACGACCAGCCACACUGGGACUGAGACACGGCCCAGACUCCUACGGGAGGCAGCAGUGGGGAAUUUUGGACAAUGGGCGAAAGCCUGAUCCAGCCAUGCCGCGUGCAGGAUGAAGGCCUUCGGGUUGUAAACUGCUUUUGUACGGAACGAAACGGCCUUUUCUAAUAAAGAGGGCUAAUGACGGUACCGUAAGAAUAAGCACCGGCUAACUACGUGCCAGCAGCCGCGGUAAUACGUAGGGUGCAAGCGUUAAUCGGAAUUACUGGGCGUAAAGCGUGCGCAGGCGGUUAUGUAAGACAGUUGUGAAAUCCCCGGGCUCAACCUGGGAACUGCAUCUGUGACUGCAUAGCUAGAGUACGGUAGAGGGGGAUGGAAUUCCGCGUGUAGCAGUGAAAUGCGUAGAUAUGCGGAGGAACACCGAUGGCGAAGGCAAUCCCCUGGACCUGUACUGACGCUCAUGCACGAAAGCGUGGGGAGCAAACAGG
rnacentral:rRNA from 1 species